rnacentral:misc_RNA from 1 species
GAUGAAGAACGCAGCGAAAUGCGAUAAGUAGUGUGAAUUGCAGAAUUCAGUGAAUCAUCGAAUCUUUGAACGCACAUUGCGCCCCUCGGUAUUCCGUGGGGCAUGCCUGUUCGAGCGUCAUUUAUCCCCUCAAGCCUAGCUUGGUAUUGGGUGCUUGUCCCGCCUCUCGCGCGGCGACUCACCUCAAAGUCAUUGGCAGCCCGCAUCUCGCCGGCCGUGAGCGCAGCACAGACGCGCUCUUGGCAACGACGGAUCGGCUCUCCAAAAGCUUAUUUCAACCACUGACCUCGGAUCAGGUAGGGAUACCCGCUGAACUUAAGCAUAUCAAUAAGCGGAGGA